UUUUACAAUGGAGAGUUUGAUCCUGGCUCAGGAUGAACGCUAGCUACAGGCUUAACACAUGCAAGUCGAGGGGAAACGACAUCGAAAGCUUGCUUUUGAUGGGUGUCGACCGGCGCACGGGUGAGUAA
rnacentral:rRNA from 1 species